UACGGAGGGUGCAAGCGUUAUCCGGAUUCACUGGGUUUAAAGGGUGCGUAGGUGGGCAGGUAAGUCAGUGGUGAAAUCUCCGGGCUUAACUCGGAAACUGCCAUUGAUACUAUCUGUCUUGAAUACCGUGGAGGUUAGCGGAAUAUGUCAUGUAGCGGUGAAAUGCUUAGAUAUGACAUAGAACACCAAUUGCGAAGGCAGCUGGCUACACGAAUAUUAACGCUGAGACGCGAAAGCGUGGGGAGCAAACAGG
rnacentral:rRNA from 1 species